UUUUACCUAAAAGAAACGUAGUGUUCCGUUUUCCGUUCCCUGCUUCGUCCAACCACUCCUACGACCGCCAUCCUGUGAUUACGUCUGAUUCGCUUAACUAAUUGCUCCCGUGACUCCCGUUUAGUUUCCUGUUUUUAUUCUUUCCAAACCUGCCCUGCCCGAUCUUCUACUGCCCCGCUCGAUCUGAUCUAGAGGAGGGGCUUUUCUUGUGCUGUCGUUGAAGAUGCUGAGAGAGAGAAUGAACGAGAGCAGAGAGGAGAGCAGCCGUCGUACUGGCCGGUAGAGGCGCGGUCGGUGUGCGAGACGACCGGCGAAGGGACCCUGCGGCCGUGGUGUGGUGGUCGGCUCGCCGAGCGAGCAGUUCGAUACGGGCAUGACGCAGGGAGCCCGCGGAGGUUCUGGAAGCUCGUGCUCAGGCAGGACAUGUCUGGUGGCGGCAAGGGUGUCUCCUCCGCCGCUGCCAUAACCUACACGCUGACCUGCAUCGGCGCCAAGCCUCGGGCCCCGCUCUUCCCCAGGAGCAUCGGUUCCUCCCCACUUGUCUCGAUCCCACCGCCCCACACCCAGGACCAGGAGGAGUGGCAGCGACCGACGGGAUACGGCGUCGUUGCUGGUGGUGUAAGGAGGACGGCCCAAGCAACACCACGACGGCAGCUCGCCGCUACCGUGGCAUGGACUGGCGUCCCGUACUCCGAGAUAUGGCACUGGCUGCUUGGCGAUGGAGGCUUGGGAUCCUGCACCAUGAGAGCAUAUUGGGUGUUGCUAUGCUUGAUUCCAUUGCUGAAUUGCUUGUGCUCCCCACGACCGCUGGAGUGGGUAGCGGGUGAGUUGGAGUUCGAUUUUGUUACGGAUGUGCGGCCUGUGGUAACAAUUAGGGAGAGGUAUUUAAUCUGUCGGCAAGGAUCUGCAUUGGGAUUUUGAGAAUUAAGUGUCACCAAGCAGUGUAUAGUUGUCAAUCAAUUCAAUGAUUUGAAGUUUGCCCUAAAACUCAAGAACAUGGGUUUAUGUAUUUUAUCAGCCUAAAUGAAACAAAUCAAUUACUUUGCACAACCAAGUCGAUAUUGUGUUUAAUUAGUAAUUAGCGAAAAAAUACUGCAUACAUAAUUAAGAUGUUACAUGAGCAGGUUCUGACGUCAAGAUGAGGGCAUUGGCAUAUGAACACAAUGCUCUGAACAUUCUAUUGCUUACAAGCUCGUAUGUGUUGCAUGCACCACGAGGGAAGGAACACCGUGUGUGGAGUUACUGUAUGACAGUGCUUUUUUGAAAUUCCUGAAAAAUUCUUGAAAGCUUUAAUCGUGAGUAUCAUUUAUCUUUUACACUCUUGUUUUCCUCACUUAUGUCUGUCCAGGAGUAUAGUCGAUCAAUUUUCUUGCUUACAUAUCUUUACGUAGGAAUUUCAAUGUUGCUCUAACUCGCUGUGCAAAUCAUUGGUGUCUGCACCAUAUGCUGGUGGAUGGCACAAGAGGUGUUCAAGCGAGUGACUGACAUGUAAGCCGUGGCGGCACAACCAUGUUUCGGGGAGAAAAUGACUGAGGCCCUAUAGGUAACAUCACAUCAUUGAGCCGCGUGAAACAACUUUGUUAAAUGCCUCAUUGUUAUACUGCACACCCUUUUCGUAAUACUUAGCCAUAACUAUAAACAGCCGCGGGAUAAAUUGUUCUUGUACAAAUAAAGGGGUGGCUUUUUUCAAUACAGUUUGGAGAAGACCCUUCUGUUAAAGAAGUUUAUGAUGGUACAGAGCACUCCCGAAACUAGAUACCAGCCGCCAGCAAGAUUUGAUUGUCCAGUAUAUUUUAUGCUGCAAAAUCUGACAGCUGCGAAUGUAAUGUUGAACAUCUCAUUUCAAAGUAUAUGUACUGAUGUUUUUUUUCUAUUUUAACUUUUUUAUCUCUUGAUAAA